AUUAAAUUAAAACCCCAAAUCUAAAUCCCCAAUUCAACACUAAAUCACAAUUCCUAACUCUAAAUCAAACUCAAUUCCUCAGCAUCAUAUCUUCUUCUCAUCUCACGAAAAAAAAAAAUCUUCUUCAUCAACAUGAAUUCAGAUAUUGCAGGUCUCCACUCCAGAACCCUGCUCUUCACCAAUCAUCCUCACCUUUCUCUUCCCUUCUCCAUCUCCCAACCCUAACCCUCUCCUCCUUCUCUUUCUCCCAGCCAUCGCAACUCCCAAGCACCUCUGCAACCCCAGAUCUGCAAGGAAUUAACGGAGGAGCACAGAUCAGAAUUGACGCCGGUGGGAAACAAGGUGAUAACCUCCAAUGACACCGACCUUGUGAACCAGAUACUGCCGGCGAUACAGAACAUGCAAAACGCCCAAAGACAUACUGGAUCUAGGGAUGAGAAGGCAGAGGGUGGUGGCGGCGUCGGGAUCCCGAGAGAAAGGAGAUAGUCAUCAGAAUUCAGGGAAGGAUGGGGUUGCAGCGAGGCUGAAUUUAGGUUUGGGGUAGAUGAAGGUGGAGGGGCAGCACCGGGUUUCAUCAUGAAAGGGAGAGCUAGGAUUUUUUGUGGGUUCGGUGAUGAUGAAACACAUUUUUCUCCGCUGUGGCGGCUCCUGAUACUUUCUUACCCUUCACCAUCUUCAUCUCCAAUUGCAUAUCUGAUAUGAAAUUAUUUUCAAAACAGAUCUUGAAACCAGUAGCUUCUCGUAAAGAUGGAGGGAACGAAGAUGACCAUAAGCUUCUCAUCAACCUACUUUGUUCUUGUUCUGAUUUUUCUGGAUUUGGGAGUUUAAUUUUGUGGAAAACUAGAGCUUGAGAGCAAUGAAAUCGUUGCAAAUUAUCAACGUCGUACAGCUGAUAACGUUUUCUAGUUUGUCACAUUGUGGCUAAUGUUUGGAUUUUGCUUAAUUUUCAUAUUUUUUCUAGAUUGUCUGCACGUCGUGGAGUUUGCUUAAUUUCUUGUGGAUUGGUUGCUGUUGUCCUGGGAAUGGAUAAUUUAUGGGUAAAUUUUCUUGGCUUGGUGGAGGGUUGAUCUUGGAUAUAAAGAACAAGGAUAAUAAAGAUGAAGCUUCAUUUACACAGUCAGUAUGUCAUUUCAUCACUUGCCGGAGCUCCGGCGAGGACUAGCUCCAUACGUUUUUCAAAAAUAGGGACUUAUUCCACAAAUUUUUCCGGAUAUCUCUUCGAUUUGGAUUUCUCCAAUAGCAUCACUCCAACACAAGAAGAUCUUCCAUCAGAUUUUUCCAUUGCUGUUUUCCAUUCUUCCAAUGUUACAUCUUGAAAACAUAACCGUUCGAUAUUCAGCAGACUUUAAAUCUCAGCCGUUCGAUAUUCCCCUUGAACUUCUUCCAUCAAUGUUCUUUUGAAGAAUUUCCUGAAGAUCAAGGAGCUCAUUGUGAAGGAACGUUUGAGGAGAACGCUGGAAUAACCAGAGAUGUCGUUGGUGGAUUCUUUCGUGAUUCGUCGUCGUUCGGGGAAGACCCGGAGCGAAAUGACUACUAUUGAGCCUUCGACGUGGACCCGGACUUCAUGCAUGACCAGAUGGGAGUCGAUGAUGGAAGUAUGGGGGAUGGGUGAUUAGAGUCUAUUAAGGUUGGGUGUUAGUGUCAUAGCUCUGACUUAUUCUUAUUUUUGGAGGGCUUGUGUUGCUGACACUUGACCUAUCAUUUUGGGGAUUGUACAUUUUGCCUACGGGCGUUACACUUUUCUACUUUCCGUCACUGGAGGUUACUCGUGACGAGGUCGCUACUUACAGCGGGGAAUGUUAUAUGUAUUGUGUAUUAGUUCUGUUACCUUUCGCAUUUGGGUUUUAUUUAUUUCAGUCUUGUCUUAGUUAUUAUAUCGGAAAAAAAAAAUAUUCACGUAUUUCCGCAUUAAGUUUACUUUUGGUUACUAAAGUGACGCCACCGAAAUCGGGGUGUUACACUGAUGGUUCUUCAAAUCCUGGGGGCUGCUUCACUUAGACUUCUUCUUCAAUUACUCCGUUCAGAAAAGCACUUUUGACAUCCAUUUGA